rnacentral:lncRNA from 1 species
AAUUUUUUUAUUUUAGAGGAAGGGGAAUGAGGAAGGCGCACGCGCGCGCUCACACACACACACACACACACACACACACGCAGAAAGAGAGAAAAUGUUUGGAAUUGUGAAAGUGCCUUUCCUAGUAGUUGCUUUUACUGGCGCCCGGGCCUCAAUUCAUUUCAUCUCUGAACCAGAUACUAAAAAUCCUCCAGGCGAGUGGAGAGGACCGGCCUUCCUGGAUCGGGAACCUGCCCUCUGUCUUCCCUCGCAGCGCCCUUUCCUCCUUUCGCUUGGGAAAGGAAGAUUUCGAGCCCCAGGAAGGAGUUGGGAGUGAGCGACAGCCCAGAGCGUCCCAUAAGGUCCUUUUGGCCAUGUUUCUGCCCCGGGGGGCUUCACCUAGAUCCCCCACCCCACCCCUUACCCCUGUUGCAAAUACGUAAGCUGGACGCGCCUCGGUGCGGAUCCAGGCCUCGCUGAGCACGGAACCGGAGAAGCAGCUCACGGCCUCGGAUUCUACUCUCACCCAAGGGUGGAAGGGGGUGACAGGGCUCGGAUCUUGCCCCAAACGCUGCACAGGCCCGCAGGAGAGCAAAGAGGUCUCGGACAGGCUGUCCUUCCCCAGCUCUCGGUCGCGACAAGGUCCCGACAGGCCCGGGAACCGGCGAACCGCCUGCAGACAGGGUCUCUCUUUGUUGCCUAGGCUGGAGUGCAGUGGAACGAACUUGGCUUAUUGAAGCAUUGACCACCUGGACCCAAGUGAUUCUCCUACCUUAGCCUCUUGAAUAGCUGUGACAACAGGUGUGCACUACCACACCCAGAUAAAUUUUGUAAUUUUUAUAGAGAGGGCAUUUGACCAUGUUGCCCAGGCUGGUCUCAAACUCCUGAGCUCAAGUGAUACUCCUGCCUCGGCCUCCCAAAGUGCUGGGAUUACAGAUGAAGAAAAUGAGGCACUGAGAGAUUACAUAACUUCCCUUGAGUCAUAUUUGCUUGUAAGUGGUAAGGCUGGAUGUUGAACCCAGGACAAAGGGAGCCCAGUGGAGGAUCCCUGGAGGAGCAAAUAGAAGAAACCCAAAAGGGACUUGAAAGCGGGUCCCCUCCCUCACCUGGAUUCCCAGUCCGAAGAGGAGGAAGCAUCCGCCCUCCUUCCCUCCUUCUGACCCACCCAGCCACCCACCCAAGGUGCCAUUAAAGUUAAUUGUUUUUACUGCCAGUUUAACAUAGUCUUGUAAAUCUUUUUACGAUGUGGCCGGGGAACACCGAGCUGCAUGCAGGACUCAAUGGAGUUGGAGCACAGGAGCGUGGCCCCAGAGCUAUCUGGAGGGUGUAAAAUGGGAGCGCCACGUCUCUCCAGGGGCACCCUCUUCCCUCCUCCUGGAGCACCAGGCCCAAGACCCUCAUCUGAGUGGCAGUUCUCCCAGGCGAGGCUAGGAUUGUGCCUGGAAUGCUAAGAUCCUCCAGGUCACCCCCACUGUUUCGAGAGGCCAUCCCUCUUGACUCUAAGUUGUGGAAUCCUCCAGAAUCCGAGGCCUCCAAGCCCUGGAGAGAGGUUCUGGAUCCUUCAGAAAGGUUGAGGGGUGAUUCCCAUAUAGAAAGCUUGGCGCUGGGUCUCUCCAUUUGCCCACCAAGGACCGGCAGGCAAAAGCACUGCAAGGUGGACGUUUAGGGGUAUGAGGGGCGCACAUUCCAUGGCGCAGGGACUCUGGAGGUGCAGGUCUUCUACGAAGGUGAUUCCGCCAUUUCCCAGCCAUUACCAGCGGAGAGAGCUGAGUCUUCCUGAACAGCGCCUUUAAGCUGGUUUGUCCCAGGUUGGUGGAGCGGGACUCAGCGGUUUCUGUCCCUUGGGUAGACCUUGGCUUCCAUCUGUCUGGGUACAGGCACGAUUUCCCUCUCCCGGUUCCUGGCAUCCCCAUUGUGAGCCAUCCAUGUCAAAAUAAGGGUCUUAACUCCCACCGUUGUCACUAGCAUUAAACAGACACUCCUAAUGUGCCCAGAAAAAUGCCAGGCGCACGCUAAACAUCUGUAAACCACGGUGACAGCUCUAAGCGUUCAUGAUUAAGCCCAAAUAUUUAUUAGGCACUGGUGUGCAAGCCUUGUGUAAGUGCUGAGGACACACAGAGAAGAACGACGUACUUUCCUCUAAAGAGGGUUUUUUGUUAUUGACAAAGGAACCUAGAGGGCAUCAACGCAACACACAGAGCAGUCCUUCCCAAAACAUACCCCGGGAACCGGUUAGAAAUGCGCAUUCUCAGGCCCAGCUGAGACCAAUUGAAUGAGGUGUCCGGGAGCGGGGCCCAGAAUUCCUGUUUUAACAAAGCCCCCACGUGAUUGUGAGCUCCUUAAGGUUCGAGAACCCUGAUGCAGUGAACGCAGGCGCAGGCUCUGGAGUGAGAAAUUGUGGGUUUUCAUCUCCUUGCAUCUAUGUUGUGGGGCUUUGACCAAGAAAUGGUAACAAACUCAGAAGGGGAGAAGGGGAAAGAGAGUGGAUGGAGUAGGGGCGGUGAGAAGGAAGACAAGGGAAUAACCAGCCCUCUUCCCAACAGGGCUUCCUCGAUCAGAGGCCGAAUUUCCGAGCAGGAUAGACCAGGGGGCUCGAACUAAUAAUUCUGAGGGGUCAGAAAGGCCUCUCAAAACGCGCCGCGAUUUGAAACCUGCAAACGCGGGGUUCAGGUCGGCUCCGUUUCUUCCAAGCAGCCUGCCUUUGGGGCACCCAACCCUUCCCAAGCCUCGGUUUUCCCGAUCUUGUGGGAUCCUUGCGGCGCGAAUGGGGUUGGAAGCACCUUGGAAGCUACAGAGUACCGGGUCGGGACAAUUUCCGGCACUGCCCCAGUUCAGUGGUUUAUAGAAAAUUUCUUUCUCUCUCUCAGGUCCACUAAGACCGAGAGAGAGAGAGAAGUCGACUCUGGCACACCCGGGCGAGGGGCUGCCGGGAUUCGGGAGCUGGCGCGGUUGAUUUUUUCCGAGAAUCCUCCACUUGGGGUGACGUCGGGCAGCGCGCGCGGGCCGUGAGGUUAAUGCCCAGGCUUUUCUCUAAAGCGUCCGGGAAUGAUCCGGCGAAUAAAA